GGGAAGGCCACGCUCAUGUGUCUGGCCAACAAGGGCUUCCCCUCAGACUGGAGUCUGUCCUGGAAGGUGGACGGCAGCAGCAGCAGCAGCUGGGAGGAGAGCAGGAGCCCCGGGGUGCUGCAGGAGGACGGCCUCUACAGCUGGAGCAGCACCCUGAGGCUCCCUGCAGACCAGUGGGGGAAGGUGGGCUCUGUGAGCUGUGAGGCCACCCAGGGCUCCCAGACUCCACUCUCAGAGUCACUGAGGAGAGACCAGUGUUCCCAGUCCUGACCUCACCCACUGGGAACAUCACAUUGGUUCUGUUCUGAUACUGUUCUCUGUUUUUCUUUCUCUCUUUGGCUCUUUCGUUUCUAAUGACUCCAACUUACCAUUAUUAUGAUUCACCUUCAGUGACGCUGAUACUGUUCAUGCUUCAAAACAAUAAAGAUUUGUCUCUGAUUAUCAA